CAUUGAUAAGUUGAACGCAUAUUGCACGUCGUGGGAACCUACUAUGACGUACACAUACUUGAGC
rnacentral:rRNA from 1 species